UAUUUUCGAUGUGGCCGGUCUGCCUAUCAGUCAGCCCGCAAUAAAGCUCGCAAGACAGUGAGGUGUUAAUUGAGGGCCGACCAACAACCGACACCAUGGUGGACGUCGAGGAAGACGGCUUCGAGAGCGAAAUUCGCCGCAAGGUGACCAGGAAAACCUUCACCAUCGAGGAGAAAUCGUCGACAACCAAAACCAUGACUUCAAGUAGUAAGGCUGCCUUGCAAAGAAUGGACACCAAAGAGAUGGCUGAGUACAACGAGAUGGACAUGGACGAGCUGCUCGCCCAGUUGUCGUCUGAGGAGAUCAACAUGUUGUCUCGGGAAGUCGAUCCUGAUGACAACACAAUGCCUCCGUCAUUGAGGUGUGGAUACUUUUGUGAAAAAGAGCCCACCGGUCCCUUGGACAGACACAAGUUGAUCGACCACAUCAACAAACAGGCAUUGGAAACGCCCGACAAACCAGAAGCUCAGCCAUUUGUUGCUGGCACAGUUCGAGGAAAGAAGUGGGUGGCACCAAAGUGCGAGAAAACAGCCGAACUCGAGGAGCAAAUUGGCAUUGACUUGGGUGAUGAGUACGAAACUGCUCUCAGUGGCGCGUCUCAGGAGGAGAUCAUCGAUUUGGCCGCUAUCCUCGGCUUCCACUCGAUGAUGAACCAAGACCAGUACCACGCAUCACUCCUAAACAAGGGUCAGCCAGUUGGUAUGGGUUGGGACGGCGUCACAAAGGCCUCGCAGCCAAAAGCAUUCCCCAACGAGCCACCCAACCUCACUAACCCUGAUGAAACCAUCAAGAGGGUGAAGGAAGAUGACCACACCCUCAAGGACGUUAACUGGAAUAACAUUAAGAACAUUUCUGAUGAAAAGUUCACGCAGCUGUUUGAGGCGUUGGCCUCUAACACCCAUUUGGAAAGCCUCAGCCUGACCAACACGGGCCUGAUGGACCGCACUGCCCUCUUGUUGGCUGACGCGCUUGAGAAAAACAGCACAUUGCGUGUGCUCAACGUUGAGACCAAUUUCAUCAGCCCGGCUGUGAUGGUCACCCUUCUCAAAGCACUACUAGCCACUAAGUCUGUGGAAGAAUUCCGUGGUACUAACCAGAGAUCCCAAGUGCUUGGAAAUAAAAUUGAAAUGCAGAUUACGGAGAUUGUGGAACAGAACUUCUCUCUGUUGCGAUUGGGACUCCACUUGGAGUACAAUGACGCACGCCACAGGGUUGCAGCUCACCUUCAAAGAAACCUUGACCGUAUUGCCAAGGAAAGAUCAGCUGGCUGGGCAGGAAAGGGCAUCAUUGUUUCUGCUUGAAUUCAAGUUGCAGACUCUCAGCUGGUCCAAUACAGAUCCGCCUGACACGCGUGGGGGCAGCAAGCUCGUAGUGCGAUGAACACUCACCGACUGCGACGCACUGGUCGUCUGUCUCGUAACCUCCUCAUCGGUUAUCUGACUUCAAAGAAGUCGUUUGAAAAUUAGCCUAUAUUCGCCAACCUAUGAAAAUUACUCCCAACGCCACUCAUAUAUAAAAAAGUUAGUCGCUUGCUUGUUGAUUGGAGCAAACUAUCAAAAAGAAAAAGUGCAUUCGCUUCGCUGGAAGGAAACAAACUUCUUCCGCCGCUGGAAAGCUUCGUAGUUGUUCAUCUUAAAAAAUCCCUAGCCUUAGACAAACAUAAAAGCCAAGCAAGAAAAAAAUGGAGGUUAAAUUGAGAUAUGAUGCUUUGAUUGGAUCAGUGUCGCGCUGCUGAGAAAGAGAGUGAAGACGCGCGUCUGCCUCCGCUCUUCUUUGUGCUUGUUGUACAACACUACACUUUACCUGACUCACUGCCCGCAUUGAUUCAGAACGCUGAAUUUAAGAAAAAAAAAUGCACUGUCGGUAUUCAAGAAUUGAGUGUCAAAAAGAGUGUUUCUCACAGAUUUUUAUUUUGUUAAAAAGAGCUGAAUGCGAAAAAAUCGGAAAAGUAAGAAAGAGUGCGCGCGAGCCCAGUCACUGAUGUUUUCAUGUUAAGUGGCCGAAGAUGGAUUUUGUCGAACACCUGCAUUUAUAAAUUCCCCUAGUCGGAGAACGAAGAAGAACGCGAGCGAGCCAUUUACCGUGAAAACUUCAUUCUGUUAUUAUUCAGUAUGUGAUGCAAAAAUGUUUGGUGGACCUUGUACUAUCAUAGGAGUUUUCUGAGUUGGAAAUUUUAUUUAUUCACUGGCGUAGAGAGCAAAUGUUUACAUAUUUAUGAGUCCAUUUUUAUGUAAUUUUUACUUGCGAACACACGCUCUCGAUUUAUGAUUUAUAUUUAUCCCGAAAAUGUCUAUAGUCGUGUAGGACUUUUCUGUCCAAGAUAUUUUAUUUGAAAAAUAUUCAGUUUUUUUUUCGGUAAAAGUGACGUUGAACAAAAGAUAUGUAUGCGUAAAUAAAUUAUUAGUUUUAACAGGCACAGGACUGUUUACCCUGAAAUCGGUGGCUGCUGUAAAUUUUUGAUUAUAUAUACGUCCUUGUAUGUAUUUUAAUUACCUGUGUAUUAAGUUGUAAGAAGAUGAAAAAGUGCUAUUAUUUGAUUUAAAGAAGAAAAAAGUCUCAGCUCCAUUACUCCUUUUGUGUGAAUGGAAAAUUUAAUUGGAGAAACUCGUCCCUUUUAAUAAAUUACUGAAUACAGUUUAAGUACGUCAAGAUAAAUUUAAUUAUGUCAUGGGAAAUGCACAACAUUUUGUCAGAAGUGAACAAAUUCAAAUAUAAGAGGUCACCUCAAAUGAA